rnacentral:rRNA from 1 species
CUAACAAGGAUUCCCCUAGUAACGGCGAGUGAAGCGGGAAGAGCUCAAGCUUAAAAUCUCCGUGCAAGUUUUGCACGGCGAAUUGUAGUCUAUAGAGGCGUGGUCAGCGUGGGCGCUCGGGGCAAGUUCCUUGGAAGAGGACAGCAUGGAGGGUGAUACUCCCGUUCAUCCCUGAGUUGCUCGUGCGUACGACCCGUUUUCUUUGAGUCGCGUUGUUUGGGAAUGCAGCGCAAAGUAGGUGGUAAAUUCCAUCUAAAGCUAAAUAUUGGUGCGAGACCGAUAGCGAACAAGUACCGUGAGGGAAAGAUGAAAAGAACUUUGAAAAGAGAGUUAAAGAGUACCUGAAACUGCUGAAAGGGAACCGAAUCGUUUCCAGUGUCUAUAAUCCGUGGCAUAUUUCAUUGGCGAGUGUGUGCGUGCGUGUGCUGUGGCAGCGGUCUUUAUGGCUGCGCUCGGUGUGUGUGCUGUGUGUGCUUGCUGGUGCCCUGUGCUGCGGUGGGACGUCAAGGUCAGUUCGUAUGCUGCGGGAAAUGGCUGCCGAGGAGGUAGGGCUUACGCUCCGCGUUUGUCUGUUAUAUCUUGGUGGACGAGUCGUCGCGGUUGGGACUGAGGUGCCUACAACGUGCUUUUGAGUGGGUUUGUGUCUCCGUGUGCGCCGUGUGCGGAUAGCUUGCUAUGCGUGUGUGGUUGUGUGUGGAUUGAUGCGGGCCUUAACUUGUUGCCGUUCGGGACGUUGACGAAAUGGAGCGAUCCGACCCGUCUUGAAACACGGACCAAGGAGUCUAACAUGUGUGCAAGUGUUAGGGUGUGGAAACCCCAGCGCGAAAUGAAAGUGAAGGGCAGCGCAAGUUGUCUGAGGUAGGAAACGUUGUGGGCUUCGGUCUGCGGCGUGGCACUAUCGACCGAUCAUGAACCUUCGUGGUGAAAGAUUUGAGUUUGAGCACAUAUGUUGGUACCCGAAAGAUGGUGAACUAUGCCUGAGUAGGGUGAAGCCAGGGGAAACUCUGGUGGAAGCUCGUAGCGAUUCUGACGUGCAAAUCGAUCGUCAAACUUGGGUAUAGGGGCGAAAGACUAAUCGAACCAUCUAGUAGCUGGUUCCCUCCGAAAUUUCCCUCAGGAUAGCAGCAACUUUUUUACGAUAGUUUUAUGAGGUAAAGCGAAUGAUUAGAGGAUUCGGGGAAGAAACUUCCUCGACCUAUUCUCAAACUUUAAAUCUGUAAGACCUGCAGGUUUCUUAAUUGAACUUGUGGAUGUGAAUAUCAA